AUUGAACGCUGGCGGCAUGCCUUACACAUGCAAGUCGAACGGCAGCACGGGUGCUUGCACCUGGUGGCGAGUGGCGAACGGGUGAGUAAUACAUCGGAGCAUGUCCUGUAGUGGGGGAUAGCCCGGCGAAAGCCGGAUUAAUACCGCAUACGAUCCACGGAUGAAAGCGGGGGACCUUCGGGCCUCGCGCUAUAGGGUUGGCCGAUGGCUGAUUAGCUAGUUGGUGGGGUAAAGGCCUACCAAGGCGACGAUCAGUAUCUGGUCUGAGAGGACGACCAGCCACACUGGGACUGAGACACGGCCCAGACUCCUACGGGAGGCAGCAGUGGGGAAUUUUGGACAAUGGGCGAAAGCCUGAUCCAGCAAUGCCGCGUGUGUGAAGAAGGCCUUCGGGUUGUAAAGCACUUUUGUCCGGAAAGAAAUCCUUGACUCUAAUACAGUCGGGGGAUGACGGUACCGGAAGAAUAAGCACCGGCUAACUACGUG
rnacentral:rRNA from 1 species